GAAGAAUUCCAUUUGGCAAUCGGUGACGGAAAUAGUUAAUUCGAUGGGAAACUGUAGGGACCGUGACGAGGUGUAUCGGAAGUGGGUUGACAUGAAGAGCCUAACCAAAAAGAAGCUGGUUGAGCAGGUAAAAGACAGGAACCUCACAGGUGGGGGGCAAGGCAGGAAAGACCUUCAACUCUUCAGCUGGGAAGAAAAG